UAAAGUUUGGUUGUAUUUCACAAGACAAAAUGACAACAACGCCACUUUUAACGCGUGUAAAAAGUAUUUCGUCGAAGGGAGGAAAUACUACAAAUAUGAAGAAGCAUUUGAACACACAGCAUGGAAUGAAGUUACUGGAACGUCAUGUGUUCAAUGCAUGCAGCAGCGCAGCUAACGUUCGCGCUUCAUCUCUAACUAUCUAAGUUUGUCCAUGCUAUCAAGUGCGCGACCCUCCACCACCCCGUCGCCGCCCGGUUCCUGUCUCAGUCUUCGGCUCGAUUGGUCGUCGGCAGCCGCCACCGCCACCAGUGUCUGGACUCCGUGGGGGAUUCUUCUUCGGGCGUUGGGCAGGCGCCCGUUGAUCUUAUAUAAUUCCCUGUGGGGUUCAAGCUCCAAACACCAUAGUACAUUUAUUAGUCUGUAAUAAACAUCUUUCACUCAU